rnacentral:rRNA from 1 species
UGGGGAAUAUUGCACAAUGGGCGCAAGCCUGAUGCAGCAACGCCGCGUGAACGAUGAAUGUCUUCGGAUCGUAAAGUUCUGUUGCCGGGGAAGAUAAUGACGGUACCCUGUGAGGAAGCUCCUGCUAACUACGUGCCAGCAGCCGCGGUAAUACGUAGGGGGCUAGCGUUAUUCGGAUUUACUGGGCGUAAAAGGUGCGUAGGUGGUCAUUCAAGUCGGUGGUUAAAGGCUACGGCUCAACCGUAGUUAGCCUCCGAAACAGGAAGACAUGAGUGCAGGAGAGGAAAGUGGAAUUCCCAGUGUAGCGGUGAAAUGCGUAGAUAUUGGGAGGAACACCAGUAGCGAAGGCGGCUUUCUGGACUGAAACUGACACUGAGGAACGAAAGCGUGGGUAGCAAACGGG